rnacentral:rRNA from 1 species
UACAGAGGGGGCAAGCGUUGUUCGGAAUUACUGGGCGUAAAGGGCGCGUAGGCGGCCUUCUAAGUCGAACGUGAAAUCCCCGGGCUCAACCCGGGAACUGCGUCCGAUACUGGAAGGCUUGAAUCCGGGAGAGGGAUGUGGAAUUCCAGGUGUAGCGGUGAAAUGCGUAGAUAUCUGGAGGAACACCGGUGGCGAAGGCGGCAUCCUGGACCGACAUUGACGCUGAGGCGCGAAAGCCAGGGGAGCAAACGGG